GAGUCUAAAAAUUAAAUCAUAGUGAGAAAAAAGUCAAACAGGAUACUAGCAAAAGUCGUGAAUAAUAAAUAAAGUCGAAGACGGCCUUUUUACACAUUUAAGUGACCGAUAUCACGGUGUCACUCUAGUUAAUAUGAGAAUGCGACUCCCGACACCACUGGUCGAGGUAGCCAUGGUAACAGCAGUUGGUUAUUGAAUAACAAACAGAAAAAUAAAGUCGAGUUAGUUAUUCCAAUCGAUGCGCAAAUAGUGUUAUAUUUUGACGCCGUACCGAAGUACGACAUAGGAGGGUAGAGACCGCCGGAAAGUAUAAGUGAGUUCAGUAGCACUCAGAAUUUGAGUGAUUUUUAAAUAUAAAAUCGUAGGUCUCUACCGAAGGUGGAGGCAGAUGUAAACAUGAAAAUGUGACAAAAAUGGGCAAAAAAGCAGUAAAAGGCAGGCUGUGGAUCGAGUUGAACAUGACCUUGAUGGACACAAAGCAAGGAUAAAAUAUGAAACAGCGACUUGGAAAAUUCAGUGUUCAUAUUUAGCUGAAGUGUAGUCGGAUCCUUCGCGCUGGUGAGCAAGCAUGCAUCAUCUGCAAAUAGUUUACUCAAAAGAUUCGAGCUGUUGGAAAGGUCGUUUAUGAAACAUAAGAACGCUAAUGGGCCAACUACUGAGCCCUGAACAAUUCCGCAGUGGAUGGGUAACAUUGGGGAUCUAUGGGGACCUAUUUCAACAAAUUGAUACCGGCCUGUCAGGUAAUCGGAUAACAGUUUUCCUGCAUUACCCCUAAAACCGUAAUGUCUUAACUUGUGAAUGAGAAUAGAGUGGUCUACGGUAUCAAAAGCCUUUUUUAGAUCUAGGAAGGCACAACAAACAUACUCGCCUUUGUCUAUUUUAUCAUAUAUAAAUGAUGUCAGAUCAAGGAUAGCAUGACUGGUGGAGUGUUUGGUCUGGAAUCCAAAUUGACAUUUGUUUAUCAAACUGAAUUUAGUACAAUAGCUCAUCAUUCUGGUAUACAACAACUUUUCCAUUAUGAUGCUAAUUGAAGAUAAAAUAGAGAUUGGUCUAUAAUUUGAAGGGUUGUUUUUUUUCCCACAUUUAAAAAUUGGUAUAACUCUAGCAAGUUUUAAUGAAGAAGGAAAUAUACCUAAAUUGAAUGACGAAUUGAAGAAAUUACUCAAAGCUGGUGAUAUGAUAUCAGCAACUAAUUUCAAAAAAUAAGAGGAAAUACCAUCCGGUCCAACCGCUUUACCCUUUUUCAGGUCCCUGAUUACACGGAGAACUUCUA